UCCUGAAUGCAUAUGAAUUGGAAAUUAUGUCCUUUUCAAUAAUGUUAGAUACUGGUAGAUUACUUUUAUUUCAGUCCACUUUGUUGCUAAAUUCCUCGUCUUCUAUAAUGCAUUGAGUUUCAAUCAAACGAGGGUAUGGAGGGAAAAUGCCAACAAAC